UUAAGCGACUAAGCGUACACGGUGGAUGCCCUGGCAGUCAGAGGCGAUGAAGGACGUGCUAAUCUGCGAAAAGCGUCGGUAAGGUGAUAUGAACCGUUAUAACCGGCGAUGUCCGAAUGGGGAAACCCAGUGCAAUUCGUUGCACUAUCGUUAACUGAAUACAUAGGUUAACGAGGCGAACCGGGGGAACUGAAACAUCUAAGUACCCCGAGGAAAAGAAAUCAACCGAGAUUCCCCCAGUAGCGGCGAGCGAACGGGGAGCAGCCCAGAGUCUGAAUCAGCUUGUGUGUUAGUGGAACGGUCUGGAAAGUCCGACGGUACAGGGUGAUAGUCCCGUACACCAAAAUGCACAGGCUGUGAACUCGAAGAGUAGGGCGGGACACGUGGUAUCCUGUCUGAAUAUGGGGGGACCAUCCUCCAAGGCUAAAUACUCCUGACUGACCGAUAGUGAACCAGUACCGUGAGGGAAAGGCGAAAAGAACCCCGGCGAGGGGAGUGAAAAAGAACCUGAAACCGUGUACGUACAAGCAGUGGGAGCACCUUCGGGUGUGACUGCGUACCUUUUGUAUAAUGGGUCAGCGACUUAUAUUCUGUAGCAAGGUUAACCGUAUAGGGGAGCCGCAGGGAAACCGAGUCUUAACUGGGCGUUAAGUUGCAGGGUAUAGACCCGAAACCCGGUGAUCUAGCCAUGGGCAGGUUGAAGGUUGGGUAACACUAACUGGAGGACCGAACCGACUAAUGUUGAAAAAUUAGCGGAUGACUUGUGGCUGGGGGUGAAAGGCCAAUCAAACCGGGAGAUAGCUGGUUCUCCCCGAAAGCUAUUUAGGUAGCGCCUCGUGAACUCAUCUUCGGGGGUAGAGCACUGUUUCGGCUAGGGGGUCAUCCCGACUUACCAACCCGAUGCAAACUACGAAUACCGAAGAAUGUUAUCACGGGAGACACACGGCGGGUGCUAACGUCCGUCGUGAAGAGGGAAACAACCCAGACCGCCAGCUAAGGUCCCAAAGUCAUGGUUAAGUGGGAAACGAUGUGGGAAGGCACAGACAGCCAGGAUGUUGGCUUAGAAGCAGCCAUCAUUUAAAGAAAGCGUAAUAGCUCACUGGUCGAGUCGGCCUGCGCGGAAGAUGUAACGGGGCUAAACCAUGCACCGAAGCUGCGGCAGCGACACUAUGUGUUGUUGGGUAGGGGAGCGUUCUGUAAGCCUGCGAAGGUGNNNNNNNNNNNNNNNNNNNNNNNNNNNNNNUGCUGGAGGUAUCAGAAGUGCGAAUGCUGACAUAAGUAACGAUAAAGCGGGUGAAAAGCCCGCUCGCCGGAAGACCAAGGGUUCCUGUCCAACGUUAAUCGGGGCAGGGUGAGUCGACCCCUAAGGCGAGGCCGAAAGGCGUAGUCGAUGGGAAACAGGUUAAUAUUCCUGUACUUGGUGUUACUGCGAAGGGGGGACGGAGAAGGCUAUGUUAGCCGGGCGACGGUUGUCCCGGUUUAAGCAUGUAGGCUGGUUGUCCAGGCAAAUCCGGAUAAUCAAGGCUGAGGUGUGAUGACGAGGCACUACGGUGCUGAAGUAACAAAUGCCCUGCUUCCAGGAAAAGCCUCUAAGCAUCAGGUAACAUUAAAUCGUACCCCAAACCGACACAGGUGGUCAGGUAGAGAAUACCAAGGCGCUUGAGAGAACUCGGGUGAAGGAACUAGGCAAAAUGGUGCCGUAACUUCGGGAGAAGGCACGCUGGUGUGUAGGUGAAGUCCCUGCGGAUGGAGCUGAGACCAGUCGAAGAUACCAGCUGGCUGCAACUGUUUAUUAAAAACACAGCACUGUGCAAACACGAAAGUGGACGUAUACGGUGUGACGCCUGCCCGGUGCCGGAAGGUUAAUUGAUGGGGUUAUCCGUAAGGAGAAGCUCUUGAUCGAAGCCCCGGUAAACGGCGGCCGUAACUAUAACGGUCCUAAGGUAGCGAAAUUCCUUGUCGGGUAAGUUCCGACCUGCACGAAUGGCGUAAUGAUGGCCAGGCUGUCUCCACCCGAGACUCAGUGAAAUUGAACUCGCUGUGAAGAUGCAGUGUACCCGCGGCAAGACGGAAAGACCCCGUGAACCUUUACUAUAGCUUGACACUGAACAUUGAGCCUUGAUGUGUAGGAUAGGUGGGAGGCUUUGAAGCGUGGACGCCAGUCUGCGUGGAGCCAACCUUGAAAUACCACCCUUUAAUGUUUGAUGUUCUAACGUUGGCCCCUUACCGGGGUUGCGGACAGUGUCUGGUGGGUAGUUUGACUGGGGCGGUCUCCUCCCAAAGCGUAACGGAGGAGCACGAAGGUUAGCUAAUCCUGGUCGGACAUCAGGAGGUUAGUGCAAUGGCAUAAGCUAGCUUGACUGCGAGCGUGACGGCGCGAGCAGGUGCGAAAGCAGGUCAUAGUGAUCCGGUGGUUCUGAAUGGAAGGGCCAUCGCUCAACGGAUAAAAGGUACUCCGGGGAUAACAGGCUGAUACCGCCCAAGAGUUCAUAUCGACGGCGGUGUUUGGCACCUCGAUGUCGGCUCAUCACAUCCUGGGGCUGAAGUAGGUCCCAAGGGUAUGGCUGUUCGCCAUUUAAAGUGGUACGCGAGCUGGGUUUAGAACGUCGUGAGACAGUUCGGUCCCUAUCUGCCGUGGGCGCUGGAGAAUUGAGGGGGGCUGCUCCUAGUACGAGAGGACCGGAGUGGACGCAUCACUGGUGUUCGGGUUGUCAUGCCAAUGGCACUGCCCGGUAGCUAAAUGCGGAAGAGAUAAGUGCUGAAAGCAUCUAAGCACGAAACUUGCCCCGAGAUGAGUUCUCCCUGAGACUUUAAGUCUCCUGAAGGAACGUUAAAGACGAUGACGUUGAUAGGCCGGGUGUGUAAGCGCAGCGAUGCGUUGAGCUAACCGGUACUAAUGAACCGUGAGGCUUAACCUU
rnacentral:rRNA from 1 species